UUUUAAGUAGCUAUGCAUCUGCAUUCUUCAUUUUCGCUGGAUUUCGGGUGAUCGUAUGAACAUGUAGUGAGAUGAUGAUAUAAAUGUUGGUGCUAAUUUCUUUAGGGUCAUUAUAUGUGAAAGUUCGUAGUAACAUUGCUAUAGGUUAAAAUUCCGUGAAUCAUCCUUAUCAAUAUUCGUGUGCCCAUGCUCACUAUAAAUCUUUGUUGUGGUAUCCUAGCGUAUUAAGUUCCUAGAUAUGCUUCAUUUUCUCUGCUGAGAAGCCUCUAGAUCGUGUUUGCGUAUUUGUUAAAUUUUGUCUAAGAUUAUAAGUUCGAGUAGCAUCAAAUGGUAUUGGGUCUUCGUUUUGAAAUCAAUUAUGUUUUUUAUUUGUUAUUGAUUAUCCAUGCUCAAUUUUAG
rnacentral:misc_RNA from 1 species